rnacentral:rRNA from 1 species
UACGUAGGGUGCGAGCGUUAAUCGGAAUUACUGGGCGUAAAGCGUGCGCAGGCGGUUCGUUAAGUUCGUCGUGAAAGCCCCGGGCUCAACCUGGGAAUGGCGAUGGAAACUGGCGGGCUGGAGUCUGGCAGAGGGGGGUGGAAUUCCGCGUGUAGCAGUGAAAUGCGUAGAGAUGCGGAGGAACACCGAUGGCGAAGGCAGCCCCCUGGGCCAAGACUGACGCUCAGGCACGAAAGCGUGGGGAGCAAACAGG